AUUGAACGCUGGCGGCAGGCCUAACACAUGCAAGUCGAGCGGCAGCGGGAAAGUAGCUUGCUACUUUUGCCGGCGAGCGGCGGACGGGUGAGUAAUGCCUGGGAAAUUGCCCAGUCGAGGGGGAUAACAGUUGGAAACGACUGCUAAUACCGCAUACGCCCUACGGGGGAAAGCAGGGGACCUUCGGGCCUUGCGCGAUUGGAUGAACCCAGGUGGGAUUAGCUAGUUGGUGAGGUAAUGGCUCACCAAGGCGACGAUCCCUAGCUGGUCUGAGAGGAUGAUCAGCCACACUGGAACUGAGACACGGUCCAGACUCCUACGGGAGGCAGCAGUGGGGAAUAUUGCACAAUGGGGGAAACCCUGAUGCAGCCAUGCCGCGUGUGUGAAGAAGGCCUUCGGGUUGUAAAGCACUUUCAGCGAGGAGGAAAGGUUGGUAGCUAAUAACUGCCAGCUGUGACGUUACUCGCAGAAGAAGCACCGGCUAACUCCGUGCCAGCAGCCGCCGCGGUAA
rnacentral:rRNA from 1 species